GGGUAGAAUUCCAGGUGUAGCGGUGAAAUGCGUAGAGAUCUGGAGGAAUACCGGUGGCGAAGGCGGCCCCCUGGACAAAGACUGACGCUCAGGUGCGAAAGCGUGGGGAGCAAACAGGAUUAGAUACCCUGGUAGUCCACGCCGUAAACGAUGUCGAUUUGGAGGUUGUGCCCUUGAGGCGUGGCUUCCGGAGCUAACGCGUUAAAUCGACCGCCUGGGGAGUACGGCCGCAAGGUUAAAACUCAAAUGAAUUGACGGGGGCCCGCACAAGCGGUGGAGCAUGUGGUUUAAUUCGAUGCAACGCGAAGAACCUUACCUGGUCUUGACAUCCACAGAACUUUCCAGAGAUGGAUUGGUGCCUUCGGGAACUGUGAGACAGGUGCUGCAUGGCUGUCGUCAGCUCGUGUUGUGAAAUGUUGGGUUAAGUCCCGCAACGAGCGCAACCC
rnacentral:rRNA from 1 species